GAAAAAUUCGGUCGACGUGGGCAUGACUCAGA
rnacentral:sRNA from 1 species